GAUAAUAUUCAUUAUGAAUUCAAAGAGUUGAACUUCGUGAAAUCAGUCUGUUGCGCAUUUUUUUCCCUGAUCUACUUACUCUACAUACUACGAUUGUUCUGGCACAAAAUAGGAAAAUCCGCUGUAUUGUGUUCAUCUAUUCAGCUAAAUGUAUCAUUAUCAAAGGGCCGAGGGGCCGGCAAAGCCGACGCAUCCAGCUCAACCGGUAACGGUCAAAUGUCGUGAUUGUGGACAAAUUUAUGUUCCCCCCCAUCCUCACAUUUGCAGAAGUAUACGAUGUGGUAAUCGUUAAUAAAUUUUGAAAAUCGAAAGGUUUUCUUUUUUUUAGAUUUUAUCAACCAUAAAUGAAAGAGACAUGUCACAUCGUCAAUUCGAAUGCGACAUGAAAUUAAGUUUAACGUGAGGUCAUCAUUCAAAACAGAGUUUGUGCUUAAGUGCGAGUAAUUUAACAGUCUGGAAAUUACAGCCUUUUUUGUCGGAGUAAAAAGUUGUUUGAAAAAUAGCCCAGAAUAAAUUCAAACAAAAUAAA